CUGUGAACAUUUUUCAUUUUUCAAGGUGGCAAAGUGUAGGUUUUUGAAUGAUAGGUGGGGAAAGUGAAAAAGUGGGUAUUAACAUGAUGGUUUUUUGUAAUUUAGCCUAUAUAUAUAUAUAUAUAUAUAUAUAUAUAUAUAUAUAUAUUGUAAUAUACUGAAUUUGGGCCUAUGAGUAAGUUCGAAGGUUGGAUUGGUUUUUGGAACUGGUCUA
rnacentral:lncRNA from 1 species